rnacentral:lncRNA from 1 species
UUCCAAGCAUCAACAACACUGAUUGCUUGAACAUCCACCUCACCCUCUUGGAGUUUUGGAGCACUUUCAAUCAAGAAUCUCACAAGAUUCAAGCUGGUCAGAUAGAACAGCAUUUUCUGCUGCCACCUCUUGAAAUUCAAGCCGUUGAAUUUCUCCGGCUUUUUCCCAUGGUUAACCGGUACAUUAACCGGAACAUUAGCCACAUGUUGGCUCACAACACGACUUGGCACUUGAGCCACCGUCUGAGCCAUAACAGAGCUAGGCCCUGCAGC